rnacentral:lncRNA from 1 species
CUGUUCAGACUACUAAAAUCCUAAAAGUCACUAUUAGAUAAACAACGUUACUCUAUAAGAAUUAAAGUAAUAAUUAUUACUUCAAACGUUUCAUGUAACGGAAGUACCGAUUCAUGAAGUGAUUAUCUAACCCACUGUUUCGUUAACUGAUGGUUCUAUGCCUAUUCUUCACUGAUCUCAUUUACGACAACAAAACAAAGAGAUUUAUGGCUUUGGGAUUCUAUCCUGAAUGAGAAAGCAAGAGUUUCAAAUGCUAAAUAUAUGAAUGUAUUUUCCUCAUCUUUUGUUUCUUUUUCCUUUUUACCCAUGUGUUGUUGUNACGAUUACAUCAAAAAUAUUUCUUUAGAAACUCAAGUUUUAUUUUGUGAAUUACACUCCUAAUACUUCCUUACUAAUGCAGGAAAUCACCAUAAAUUGUGAUGAGUAAAAUAAAUUGCUUAAUUAUCAGCCUUAUCAAGUCAAUAACAUUAACCUCUUUGUUGCCGCAGAUCGCAAAGUUAAGACCAAAACCAUGAGAUAAUGAAAGCCAGGAUCCACACUCACAAGAGAUGAAGGAUUGGAUAUAGAAUAGCCAUCAAAUAGUGAGAAUAAAGAGCUGAUACCUCAAAAUAGUAGGUUGAAAAUUCAUUAUCAAAACGAUUUUUGUCAAAUUACCUGAAAAAUUAAUUCAUCUUCUCUCUGAUUCGUCAUCAUCGGUUGUGCAGGCAAGUUUGAGACAAAAAUUACAAUCUUUGAAGUAGUGCGAGUGUGCGACCAAAGUCUGAAAAGAGAUACAUUCAAUUUGCAUUUGUUAUAUGCUUCGCCUCAUACAACCAGUAUUUCUAACUGCUGGAGCAAAGCCUUUAAUAUUAAACUCCACGAGAUAUGUAAUUUCAGAAUAAUAGAAAGCGAGUAGUAUUUUUGUUAUUUAUCCUUGUGAUUUUAUGUGUAGUUUAUUUCUUUUUCUUGGACUAGGGAGGAAAGGAGGUAAAUUGCAGGGUUGUGGGUAACAGGUAUCAAUAUUUAUUCC